rnacentral:tRNA from 1 species
GGACCCGUAGCUCAACUGGAUAGAGCAGGUUCCUACUAAGUCCCGUGUGCCCGUUCGAGUCGGGUCGGGUCCACCA